rnacentral:rRNA from 1 species
UACGGGGGGGGCAAGCGUUGUUCGGAAUUACUGGGCGUAAAGGGCUCGUAGGCGGCCAACUAAGUCAGACGUGAAAUCCCUCGGCUUAACCGGGGAACUGCAUCUGAUACUGGAUGGCUUGAGUUCGGGAGAGGGAUGCGGAAUUCCAGGUGUAGCGGUGAAAUGCGUAGAUAUCUGGAGGAACACCGGUGGCGAAGGCGGCAUCCUGGACCGGCACUGACGCUGAGGAGCGAAAGCGUGGGGAGCGAACCGG